rnacentral:tRNA from 1 species
AGUGUUUUGGCAGAAUAAUGCAUUAAGUUUAGAAUUUAAAUAAGUAUAAUUUAUAUACAUACAUUA